rnacentral:rRNA from 2 species
GUUAUAUGGUCAAGUGACUAAGUGCACACGGUGGAUGCCUUGGCAGUCAGAGGCGAUGAAAGACGUGGUAGCCUGCGAAAAGCUUCGGGGAGGUGGCAAACAACCUUUGAUCCGGAGAUGUCUGAAUGGGGAAACCCACGCGGGGUCAAUGCCCGCGUAUCAUUAACUGAAUCCAUAGGUUAAUGAGGCGAACGGGGGGAAGUGAAACAUCUCAGUACCCCUAGGAACAGAAAUCAACCGAGAUUCCGUAAGUAGCGGCGAGCGAACACGGACCAGCCUCCAGUCUUUAGCAUCAGCGUUAGUGGAAGCCUCUGGAAAGUGGCGCCAUAGUGGGUGAUAGCCCCGUACACGAAAACGAUGGUGUGGAACUAAGUCUGGGACAAGUAGGGCGGGGCACGAGAAACCCUGUCUGAAUAUGGGGGGACCAUCCUCCAAGGCUAAAUACUCCUGACUGACCGAUAGUGAACCAGUACCGUGAGGGAAAGGCGAAAAGAACCCCGGCGAGGGGAGUGAAAUAGAACCUGAAACCGUGUGCAUACAAGCAGUGGGAGCCCCUUCGUGGGGUGACUGCGUACCUUUUGUAUAAUGGGUCAGCGAAUUAUUCUCAGUAGCAAGGUUAACCGUGUAGGGGAGCCGUAGGGAAACCGAGUCUUAAUAGGGCGUCUAGUUGCUGGGAGUAGACCCGAAACCGAGUGAUCUAUCCAUGAGCAGGAUGAAGGUGCCGUAACAGGCACUGGAGGUCCGAACCCACUGUCGUUGAAAAGCCAGGGGAUGACUUGUGGAUAGGGGUGAAAGGCUAAUCAAACUCGGUGAUAGCUGGUUCUCCCCGAAAGCUAUUUAGGUAGCGCCUCGGACGAAUACCCACGGGGGUAGAGCACUGUUUCGGCUAGGGGGUCACCUCGACUUACCAAACCGAUGCAAACUCCGAAUACCGUGGAGUAAUAUCCGGGAGACAGACGGUGGGUGCUAACGUCCAUCGUCAAGAGGGCAACAACCCAGACCGCCAGCUAAGGCCCCAAAUUCCUGGUUAAGUGGGAAACGAUGUGGGAAGGCAUAGACAGCUAGGAGGUUGGCUUAGAAGCAGCCACCCUUUAAAGAAAGCGUAAUAGCUCACUAGUCGAGUCGGCCUGCGCGGAAGAUGUAACGGGGCUCAAACCAGGAGCCGAAGCUGCGGAUGCACACUCUGUGUGCGUGGUAGGGGAGCGUUCUGUAAGCCGUUGAAGGUGUGUUGAGAAGCAUGCUGGAGGUAUCAGAAGUGCGAAUGCUGACGUGAGUAACGAUAAUGGGGGUGAAAAACCCCCACGCCGAAAGACCAAGGGUUCCUGCGCAACGUUAAUCGGCGCAGGGUGAGUCGGCCCCUAAGGCGAGGCUGAGAAGCGUAGUCGAUGGGAAACCGGUUAAUAUUCCGAUACUACUCAUUAUUGCGAUGGGGGGACGGAGAAGGCUAGGUAUACCGGGCGUUGGUUGUCCCGGAGAAAGGUUGUAGGCAGAGAUUCUAGGCAAAUCCGGAGUCUUAAUGCUGAGAACUGAGACUAGGUCCCACGUGGACUGAAGUUACUGAUGCCAUGCUUCCAAGAAAAGCCUCUAAGCUUCAGAUAGUGAGUAACCGUACCCGAAACCGACACAGGUGGUCAGGUCGAGAAGACCAAGGCGCUUGAGAGAACUCUGGUGAAGGAACUAGGCAAAAUGGCACCGUAACUUCGGGAGAAGGUGCGCUGCUGCGCGUGAAGGGCUUGCCCCGUAAGCGCAUGGCAGCCUCAGAAACCAGGCCGCUGCGACUGUUUAUUAAAAACACAGCACUCUGCAAACACGAAAGUGGACGUAUAGGGUGUGACGCCUGCCCGGUGCCGGAAGGUUAAUUGAUGGGGUUAGCGAAAGCGAAGCUCUUGAUCGAAGCCCCGGUAAACGGCGGCCGUAACUAUAACGGUCCUAAGGUAGCGAAAUUCCUUGUCGGGUAAGUUCCGACCUGCACGAAUGGCGUAACGAUGGCGGCGCUGUCUCCACCAGAGACUCAGUGAAAUCGAAAUAGCGGUGAAGAUGCCGUUUACCCGCGGCUAGACGGAAAGACCCCGUGAACCUUUACUGCAGCUUGACAUUGAACUUUGAUUUUACUUGUGUAGGAUAGCUGGGAGGCUUUGAAGUGCGGACGCUAGUUCGCAUGGAGCCGACGUUGAAAUACCAGCCUGGUAACGUUGAGGUUCUAACCUAGCCCCCUUAUCGGGGGUGGGGACAAUGUCUGGUGGGUAGUUUGACUGGGGCGGUCUCCUCCUAAAGAGUAACGGAGGAGCACGAAGGUGCGCUAAUCACGGUCGGAAAUCGUGAGGUUAGUGUAAAGGCACAAGCGCGCUUAACUGCGAGGCCGACAAGCCGAGCAGGUACGAAAGUAGGUCUUAGUGAUCCGGUGGUUCUGUAUGGAAGGGCCAUCGCUCAACGGAUAAAAGGUACUCUGGGGAUAACAGGCUGAUACCGCCCAAGAGUUCAUAUCGACGGCGGUGUUUGGCACCUCGAUGUCGGCUCAUCUCAUCCUGGGGCUGAAGCAGGUCCCAAGGGUAUGGCUGUUCGCCAUUUAAAGAGGUACGCGAGCUGGGUUUAGAACGUCGUGAGACAGUUCGGUCCCUAUCUACCGUGGGCGUUUGAGACUUGAGAGGAGCUGCUUCUAGUACGAGAGGACCGAAGUGGACGUACCUCUGGUGUUCCGGUUGUCACGCCAGUGGCAUUGCCGGGUAGCUAUGUACGGAAGGGAUAACCGCUGAAAGCAUCUAAGCGGGAAGCCCACCUCAAGAUUAGGUCUCACUGGAGCUUUAAGCUCCCUAAAGGGUCGUUCGAGACCAGGACGUUGAUAGGUUCGGUGUGGAAGCGCAGUGAUGCGUGAAGCUAACGAAUACUAAUUGCCCGUGAGGCUUGACCAUAUAACACCCAAGCAGU